rnacentral:rRNA from 1 species
AAUCAACGCUGGCGGCGUGCCUAACACAUGCAAGUCGAACGCGAAAGCCCGCAAGGGUAAGUAGAGUGGCGCACGGGUGAGUAACACGUGGACAACCUGCCUUCGAGUGGGGAAUAACCUUCCGAAAGGAGGGCUAAUGCCGCAUAACACCUCGGAGCACAAGCUUCGGGGUUGAAAAGAGCAAUUUGCUCGAAGAGGGGUCCGCGCCUGAUUAGCUAGUUGGUGAGGUAACGGCUCACCAAGGCUUCGAUCAGUAGCCGUCCUGAGAGGGAGCACGGCCACACUGGAACUGAGACACGGUCCAGACUCCUACGGGAGGCAGCAGUGGGGAAUUUUUGGCAAUGGGCGAAAGCCUGACCAAGCAACGCCGCGUGGGUGAUGAAGUAUCUUGGUACGUAAAACCCUUUCGGCAGGGACGAACCUAAUGACGGUACCUGCGGAAGAAGCCCCGGCUAACUCCGUGCCAGCCGCCGCAGUAAGAC